rnacentral:misc_RNA from 1 species
AACGCACAUUGCACCCUAUGGUAUUCCGUAGGGUAUGCCUGUUCGAGCGUCAUUACAACCCCCUCUAGCUGAUGCUAGGUAUUGGACCUCACUGGUCAGUGAGUCUGAAAACUUGACAGCAGUAUCAUCAUGCCUUGAGCGUAGUAGUAUCUCUCGCUAUAGGGCUGGUGAUAAGCGCUGUAUAAGCCCCAUCUAAGGUUGACCUCGGAUCAGGUAGGGAUACCCGCUGAACUUAA